rnacentral:rRNA from 1 species
UACGAAGGGGGCUAGCGUUGCUCGGAAUCACUGGGCGUAAAGCGCACGUAGGCGGAUCUUUAAGUCAGGGGUGAAAUCCUGGAGCUCAACUCCAGAACUGCCUUUGAUACUGGGGAUCUCGAGUCCGGAAGAGGUGAGUGGAACUCCGAGUGUAGAGGUGAAAUUCGUAGAUAUUCGGAAGAACACCAGUGGCGAAGGCGAGUUUCUGGACAGUUACUGACGCUGAGGCACGAAGGCCAGGGGAGCAAACGGG